rnacentral:rRNA from 1 species
GACGAACGCUGGCGGCGUGCUUAACACAUGCAAGUCGAACGGAAAGGCCCUGCUUUUGUGGGGUGCUCGAGUGGCGAACGGGUGAGUAACACGCGAGUAACCUGCCCUUGACUUUGGGAUAACUUCAGGAAACUGGGGCUAAUACCGGAUAGGAGCUCCUGCUGCAUGGUGGGGGUUGGAAAGUUUCGGCGGUUGGGGAUGGACUCGCGGCUUAUCAGCUUGUUGGUGGGGUAGUGGCUUACCAAGGCUUUGACGGGUAGCCGGCCUGAGGGGGUGACCGGCGACAUUGGGACUGAGAUACGGCCCAGACUCCUACGGGAGGCAGCAGUGGGGAAUAUUGCACAAUGAGCGGAAGCCUGAUGCAGCAACGCCGCGUGCGGGAUGACGGCCUUCGGGUUGUAAACCGCUGUCGCCUGUGACGAAGCGUGAGUGACGGUAAUGGGUAAAGAAGCACCGGCUAACUACGUG